rnacentral:rRNA from 1 species
UACGAAGGGGGCUAGCGUUGUUCGGAAUUACUGGGCGUAAAGGGCGCGUAGGCGGUGUGUCAAGUCAGGCGUGAAAGCCCCGGGCUCAACCUGGGAACCGCGCUUGAGACUGGCACGCUCGAGUUCGGGAGAGGAUGGUGGAAUUCCCAGUGUAGAGGUGAAAUUCGUAGAUAUCAGGAGGAACACCGGUGGCGAAGGCGGCUUUCUGGACACUAACUGACGCUGAGACGCGAAAGCGUGGGGAGCAAACAGG